rnacentral:rRNA from 1 species
AACGAACGCUGGCGGCAUGCCUAACACAUGCAAGUCGAACGAGACCUUCGGGUCUAUUGGCGCACGGGUUCGUAACGCGUGGGAACCUGCCCUUAGGUUCGGAAUAACUCCCCGACUGGGGUGCUAAUACCGGAUAAUGUCUUCUGACCAAAGAUUUAUCGCCUUUGGUUGUGCCCGCGUUGGAUUAGCUAGUUUGUAGGGUAAAAGCCUACCAAGGCGCCGAUCCAUAGCUGGUUUGAGAGGAUGAUCAGCCACACUGGGACUGAGACACGGCCGAGACUCCUACGGGAGGAAGCAGUGGGGAAUAGUGGACAAUGGGCGAAAGCAUGAGGCAGUAAGGCCGCGAAAGUGAUGAAGGACUUAAGGAUGUAAAGCUCUUUUAACCGGGAAGAUAAUGACAGUACCGGGAGAAUAAGCGCCGGCUAACUCCGUG